UGGGGAAUUUUGGACAAUGGGGGAAACCCUGAUCCAGCCAUCCCGCGUGUGCGAUGAAGGCCUUCGGGUUGUAAAGCACUUUUGGCAGGAAAGAAACGUCGCGGGUUAAUACCCCGCGAAACUGACGGUACCUGCAGAAUAAGCACCGGCUAACUACGUGCCAGCAGCCGCGGUAAUACGUAGGGUGCAAGCGUUAAUCGGAAUUACUGGGCGUAAAGCGUGCGCAGGCGGUUCGGAAAGAAAGAUGUGAAAUCCCAGAGCUUAACUUUGGAACUGCAUUUUUAACUACCGGGCUAGAGUGUGUCAGAGGGAGGUGGAAUUCCGCGUGUAGCAGUGAAAUGCGUAGAUAUGCGGAGGAACACCGAUGGCGAAGGCAGCCUCCUGGGAUAACACUGACGCUCAUGCACGAAAGCGUGGGGGAGCAAACAGGAUUAGAUACCCUGGUAGUCCACGCCCUAAAACGAUGUCAACUAGCUGUUGGGGCCUUCGGGCCUUGGUAGCGCAGCUAACGCGUGAAGUUGACCGCCUGGGGAGUACGGUCGCAAGAUU
rnacentral:rRNA from 1 species